rnacentral:lncRNA from 1 species
AUCAGAACCUCGGGCUGUGCAGAGAUCAUCUACAGGGUAAUCAGAUUACCCUUGAGGUAUUUCUUCUUUUAUCAUAGUUUUAGAUUUAAUUUUAGAUUUUAAAUAUCAGAUAAUGAAAUUAUAUUUAGAGAAUUAGAUUUGAAAUAUGUAGGAUAAAUUUUUUUUAAAAAUCAUUCCAUCCCAGAUUUGAUGAAAUCUGGAAGAUCCUAUGCGGAGAAAAUGUUUCUCCUCCUUCAAGUGGUAUCA